rnacentral:tRNA from 2 species
GCUUCCGUAGCUCAGUUGGUUAGAGCACAUGACUGUUAAUCAUGGGGUCCUAGGUUCAAGUCCUAGUGGGAGCG